UCAGACGAUGCGUCAAGCAUAUCAAUAAGCGGAGGAAAAGAAACUAACAAGGAUUCCCCUAGUAACGGCGAGUGAAGCGGGAAGAGCUCAAAUUUGAAAUCUUAAAGGGUUUCCCUUUACGAAUUGUAGUUUAAAGAAGUGUUUUCUGUUGAGGUUUUGGUAAAAGUUCUUUGGAAUAGGACAUCAUAGAGGGUGAGAAUCCCGUAUUUGACCUUUACUUUCAACUUUGUGAUACACUUUCAAAGAGUCGGAUUGUUUGGGAAUGCAGUCCAAAAUGGGUGGUAAAUUUCAUCUAAAGCUAAAUAUUGGCGAGGACCGAUAGCGAACAAGUACCGUGAGGGAAAGAUGAAAAGAACUUUGAAAAGAGAGUUAAACAGUACGUGAAAUUGUCAAAAGGGAAGCGUUUGACACCAGUGUUGUUUUUCUGAAAAUCAAUUAAAGAACUGUUUAUGCUAAGCUGUUUAGACUUUAUCAGCUAACUGUUUAGUUUUGAGCUUUUCUUUAAUGCACUUUUCAGUUAACAAGUCAACAUCAAUUUCUUUUGCUGUAAAAAAGCUUGAGGAAGGUGGCUUGAGAUUCGUCUUAAGUGUUUAUAGCCUCUUGCCUAUGCAGUCGGAGAGAUUGAGGUCUGCAGCGUAGAUCCUUCGGGGCUAAAUGCAUUUGUGCUAAGUUAUAGCAUUUUAUAGACAACUUGUUGACUAUGAUUUGUCUUGUAGCUUACUCGCUUAUGUUAUUUUACCUACGCUUAGGAUGUUGAGCGCAUGUCUCUCUCU
rnacentral:rRNA from 1 species